GAUGAACGCUAGCGGCAGGCCUAACACAUGCAAGUCGAGGGGCAUCAUGGCGUAGCAAUACGCUGAUGGCGACCGGCGCACGGGUGCGUAACGCGUAUGGAACCUACCCACCGCAGGGGGAUAACCCGCCGAAAGGCGGACUAAUACCCCCAUGGUUCCCCGACCCUGCCUGGGGUUGGGGGUAAAGCCUACGGGCGGCGGUGGAUGGCCCUGCGUGCCACUAGCUGGCUGGUGGGGUAACGGCCCACCAGGGCGACGAUGGCUAGGGGGUCUGAGAGGACCGAUCCCCCACACUGGUACUGAGACACGGACCAGACUCCUACGGGAGGCAGCAGUGAGGAAUAUUGGUCAAUGGGCGGAAGCCUGAACCAGCCAUGCCGCGUGCAGGGUGACGGCCCUACGGGUGUAAACUGCUUUUCCCGGGGCGAAUAACCCCCUCGCGAGGGGGAUGGCCGGUACCGGGGAAUAAGGAGUCGGCGUAACUCCGUGCCAGCAGCCGCGGUAAACGUAGCGUG
rnacentral:rRNA from 1 species